rnacentral:rRNA from 1 species
CACGGGGGGAGCAAGCGUUGUUCGGAAUUACUGGGCGUAAAGGGCGUCUAGGCGGAUAGGUAAGUGGGAUGUGAAAUCCCCAGGCUUAACCUGGGAACUGCGUCUGAUACUGGAAGGCUCGAGUUCGGGAGAGGAAUGUGGAAUUCCAGGUGUAGCGGUGAAAUGCGUAGAUAUCUGGAGGAACACCGGUGGCGAAGGCGGCAUUCUGGACCGAAACUGACGCUGAGGCGCGAAAGCCAGGGGAGCAAACGGG